rnacentral:tRNA from 1 species
GAGAGUGACUAGCCGACCUGCUAACUCGGCCCCCCAAUUUAACCAUUUGGCCCUCCCA